GCAUGGGUCGGGUUUAUGGCAGGCCCAUUCCCCUGGGCCUCUCAUAAGGUCCCAUGCCAGAGCAAACUGUGACCCCAAACCAUUACCUGUGGGCUAUUGGCACUGAAGGGGAUGUCACAGAGAA
ensembl:snoRNA